rnacentral:miRNA from 1 species
UCCGUUCUGAUAUCUCCUCAG